rnacentral:rRNA from 1 species
GAUCCUGCCGGACCCGACUGCUAUCGGAUUGGGACUAAGCCAUGCGAGUCAACUCCGCAAGGGGUGGCGCACGGCUCAGUAACACGUAGUCAACCUACCCUGGGGACGGGGAUAACCUCGGGAAACUGAGGCUAAACCCCGAUGGGCCAUGGCUCCUGGAAUGGGCUAUGGCUGAAAUCUACAUGGCCCCAGGAUGGGACUGCGGCCGAUCAGGUUGUUGGUGGGGUAAUGGCCCACCAAGCCUAUAACCGGUGCGGGCUCUGAGAGGAGGAGCCCGGAGAUGGGCACUGAGACAAGGGCCCAGGUCCUAUGGGGCGCAGCAGGCGCGAAACCUCCGCAAUGGGCGAAAGCCCGACGGGGUCAGUCCGAGUGGUUCCCGCUGAGGGAACCUUUUGCCAGCUGUAAACAGGCUGGCGAAUAAGGGGUGGGCAAGUUUGGUGUCAGCCGCCGCGGUAAUACCAGCACCCCGAGUGGUCGGGACGAUUAUUGGGCCUAAAGCAUCCGUAGCCGGCCCAGUAAGUCCUCCGUUAAAUCCAACGGCUCAACCGUUGGGCUGCGGGGGAUACUGCUGGGCUAGGGGACGGGAGAGGCGAGGGGUAUUCCCGGGGUAGGGGUAAAAUCCACUGAUCCCGGGAGGACCACCAGUGGCGAAGGCGCCUCGCUAGAACGUGCCCGACGGUGAGGGAUGAAAGCUGGGGGAGCGAACCGGAUUAGAUACCCGGGUAGUCCCAGCCGUAAACGAUGUAGGCUCGGUGUUGGGCUGCCUCAGUGGCAGCCCAGUGCCGCAGGGAAGCCGUUAAGCCUACCGCCUGGGGAGUACGGCCGCAAGGCUGAAACUUAAA